GCCAGACUCCUACGGGAGGCAGCAGUGGGGAAUCUUCCGCAAUGGGCGAAAGCCUGACGGAGCAACGCCGCGUGAUCGAAUGAAGGCCUUCGGGUUGUAAAGAUCUGUUGACAGGGACGAAUAAGCAAUGCGAAUAGUUUUGUGUAUGGCAGUACCUGUUUAGAAAGCUCCGGCUAACUACGUGCCAGCAGCCGCGGUAAUACGGAGGAUGCGAGCGUUAUCCGGAUUUAUUGGGUUUAAAGGGUGCGUAGGCGGCAUUAUAAGUUAGUGGUAAAAUAUUGGGGCUUCACCUCACUACGCCAUUAAUACUGUAGAGCUAGAGAACAGACGAGGUAGGCGGAAUAAGUUAAGUAGCGGUGAAAUGCAUAGAUAUAACUUAGAACACCGAUAGCGAAGGCAGCUUACCAGACUGAGUCUGACGCUGAUGCACGAGAGCAUGGGUAGCGAACAGGAUUAGAUACCCCAGUA
rnacentral:rRNA from 1 species